rnacentral:rRNA from 1 species
UACAGAGGGGGCAAGCGUUGUUCGGAAUUACUGGGCGUAAAGCGCGUGUAGGCGCAACGCAAGUCGGAUGUGAAAUCCCAUGGCUCAACCAUGGAAGUGCACCCGAAACUGCGUCGCUAGAGUCCUGGAGAGGAAGGUGGAAUGCUUGGUGUAGAGGUGAAUUCGUAGAUAUCAAGCGGAACACCGGUGGCGAAGGCGGCCUUCUGGACAGUGACUGACGCUGAGACGCGAAAGCGUGGGGAGCAAACAGG